rnacentral:ncRNA from 1 species
UUCAAUGAAUUUAAGCACACGAUUAAGCGGUGGAAAAAAAAUUGAAGAGGACUUCCGCAGCAACGGCGAAUGACCUGGAAAGGGCUUGUGGCUUGAUCACGUGUCAGAAUUAGGGUAGUGAGCUGUGGCGUUCAGGCGUAAAUGAAUCGAUGGCUAACCAUACCACACUCAAAGUUUGAGUAAAUUUUAGAAAAGGUAGAAGGCCUGUAUGAGUGGUCGCAGUUGCUGAUACUGGCUCUAGAGCUGGAUUGUUUGGAAACGUAGCCUAAAGUUUGUGGUAAAUCUUAUCUUAUACUGUGUAUGAUUUUGAGAGCGACUGUGAGCAAGCACCGCGAGGUAAAGUUGUAAAGAGCUUCAAGGGGAGAGUUUACGAGGAAACCACUAGAAGGAAACCGGACACAGUUAAUGUAAUAAUGAUGGCGUUUAGCCAACGCUAUUUACACAUCUGUUAUAUGUUGCACUUCGGAUAACAAUUGGUAUAUAAGUCUGCUGUAAGUAUAACGAGCGAGCGUGUGUCGUAUAAACGAUCGAGUUCAGUCUGCAGUUUUUAUUUUUUUAACUGUUACAUUGCGCGUAUCGCAUGCAGCAAAUGCCUGAAUAUACCUUACUAAUUGCUAUUUGCACAAGUAUCAAUAGCAUCCCAUUCAGCCAUUUUCUCAAAUGAAACAAACGAUCAUCACUGAAUUUUCUUACUGAAACAAAA